GACGAACGCUGGCGGCGUGCUUAACACAUGCAAGUCGAACGGAAAGGCCCUGCUUUUGUGGGGUGCUCGAGUGGCGAACGGGUGAGUAACACGUGAGUAACCUGCCCUUGACUUUGGGAUAACUUCAGGAAACUGGGGCUAAUACCGGAUAGGAGCUCCUGCUGCAUGGUGGGGGUUGGAAAGUUUCGGCGGUUGGGGAUGGACUCGCGGCUUAUCAGCUUGUUGGUGGGGUAGUGGCUUACCAAGGCUUUGACGGGUAGCCGGCCUGAGAGGGUGACCGGCCACAUUGGGACUGAGAUACGGCCCAGACUCCUACGGGAGGCAGCAUUGGGGAAUAUUGCACAAUGGGCGGAAGCCUGAUGCAGCAACGCCGCGUGCGGGAUGACGGCCUUCGGGUUGUAAACCGCUUUCGCCUGUGACGAAGCGUGAGUGACGGUAAUGGGUAAAGAAGCACCGGCUAACU
rnacentral:rRNA from 1 species